rnacentral:rRNA from 1 species
UGCAGUCGAACGGUAGCAGGAAGUGCUUGCACUUCGCUGACGAGUGGCGGACGGGUGAGUAAUGCUUGGGAACUUGCCUUUGGGUGGGGGAUAACAGUUGGAAACGACUGCUAAUACCGCAUAAUGUCUACGGACCAAAGGGGGCUUUGGCUCUCGCCUUGAGAGAGGCCCAAGUGAGAUUAGCUAGUUGGUGGGGUAAAGGCCUACCAAGGCAACGAUCUCUAGCUGUUCUGAGAGGAAGAUCAGCCACACUGGGACUGAGACACGGCCCAGACUCCUACGGGAGGCAGCAGUGGGGAAUAUUGCACAAUGGGGGAAACCCUGAUGCAGCCAUGCCGCGUGUGUGAAGAAGGCCUUCGGGUUGUAAAGCACUUUCAGUUGUGAGGAAAGGUUGGUAGUUAAUACCUGCCAGCUGUGACGUUAACAACAGAAGAAGCACCGGCUAACUCCGUGCCAGCAGCCGCGGUAAUACGGAGGGUGCGAGCGUUAAUCGGAAUUACUGGGCGUAAGGCGCACGCAGGCGGCUUGUUAAGCUAGAGGUGAAAGCCCCGCGCUCAACGUGGGAACUGCCUUUAGGACUGGCAGGCUAGAGUCUUGGAGAGGGGAGUGGAAUUCCAGGUGUAGCGGUGAAAUGCGUAGAUAUCUGGAGGAACAUCAGUGGCGAAGGCGGCUCCCUGGCCAAAGACUGACGCUCAUGUGCGAAAGUGUGGGUAGCGAACAGGAUUAGAUACCCUGGUGGUCCACACCGUAAACGCUGUCUACUAGCUGUUUGUGUAUUUAAUACGUGAGUA